GAAGUUGUUGCCGCGUUUAGAGGUGUUUCAGGAUACUGGUUUUAUUACGUUCGUUUGCAGACGAGGCCUGCGUUUAUGUGGAAACUGAAUUCCUAGGAGCCAAGUGUCUUGCCCAGAGUUGCCCAGCUGAGGCCGACCAUUGCUACAGGACUCCACUGCUGGUUACAUAAUCUGAGGUGCCCACUGCAAAACGAAAAUGCAAGACCCCGCCCAUUCAAAAAUCAUGGUCUCAGAGUUACCUUGUUUGAGGUUGAUGUUUGGUGAAAUUACGUUCAAGAGCAGAACAACAUGGCUUAGCUCCAAAAUGACAAGAAUCACUCAGAGCAGCGCAUAGAUAAAGGCUACAGAAAGUGUUAAGAAAAUAAAGAAAAAAAAAGAAGAAGAAGAAGGAGAAAAAUAGUCACUGGCCAAAGCAGAAUUCAGAAGUCUUAGAAUACACACAUGCAAUGUUAAAUUUCUUGUUUGGAUAAACUGAAUAGACUGUGUGGGCAGAGGAGAAGGAGUUGAAAGAACCCGGAGGCAAAAGAGAAUGUGCUGGAGAAACUAAGAUUCUCUGCCAAAGUUUCAGAAAACGAAAUUCUGGAGCUGCUGUGGAAAUUCUAGAGCUGCUGACACAUUGUCAACUCUCAAGAAAAGCUGGUUGGAUGGAUUCAACAUGGGGAGACCCACAGAUCUAGCUUUCAGGAACUGUUGAAGCCAUUUGAACAGGGGAUAUAACCAGAAGCAGGACGUGGAAAGAUUACUCUCUCAGGAAUGCGCACGCACUAAUCUACCCUUUCUGUGAACUGAGCGUAAUGAUCACACUUCACUUGACUGAGGACACACCUUUACGAAAAUUUAUUUUAAGGGCAACAUUUCGCAGACAUAGAGUUUUCGUUCCAUAAAAAUGCUUCAAAUACUCCUGAUGAAAAAAUUUAAAAAGGAGAGGCUCAAAAUAUGAAACCUUGAGAAAAAUUUCCACAGACUGGAAAUCUGCUGAAAGAUCAUUCUGCAGAAAGUAUAGUAGCAUUAAGCAAUAUUCAAAGAUUAAGAGUUGAAUUGAGACUUGGAUAAAAAUAAAAGGAUGUAUUCAGUCAACAAGGGCUAAAGAAGCAAACUAAUACUCCUGGACGUUAUCAUCAUCUGGAACUGCUCUAUCUCUAAAACGUUAAAUACUAACAGAACCAUGACAGAGGGUGCUAGUUACCUAUCUCCACCAUUCUUUCUCCCUUCACCCUAAGGAUAGAACCCAUGAUUUGUGGUCCCCAAAUCUUCCCCAUGAGCAUCCUUCUGGCCACACUGAAGUAGUUCCCAAACACAUCAUAUACAUUUGCCCCAGGACCUGCAUCAUGUCUGGUUUUGAGAAUGUUCAACUUGAAAGAUAUUAUUUUCCAGUCUUCAUUAACAUCUUCAACAAUCUGCACUGUCUCAAUUAAUGGGGAGUAACUUGUAAAAGGCUGGCUGAUUACUUAAGAACUGUCUCUUAAUUUGAAUAUACAUAGCUAUAUUUAGACUUACUUUACCUAAUUAUUAUGCUUCCUGAUUUUUC